AAUUUUGGAUUACUUCACAUUUUUAAAAGUCAAAGCUUUUUUAUCCGAUAAAAGCUCAAAACGGAGAGAUAUUUGUUAAUAUUUGAUAAAGCCUUACAAAAACCCCGAUCUUUCGAUCACAUUGGUCGUGUAUUUUCGUCUUCUCUGGGUAAUAAUGGCUUCUGCUUGUCGUAAGAUGUUUAACAGAGCUUCCGUCUCUUCCCUCAAGUCCGCCCUCAGAUCGACCACCGGAUCUACGCCGGCUGCCUCAUCACCCGGAUUUCGUAUACCUUCUCAACCCUCUCGCCAUUUCUCAUUCUCCAGGUGUCCAUCGGAGCUGGGAUGUGUUCAAUCGUUGUUACCGCUGCAUAGCACUGUGGCAGCAGCGAGGCUGACUUCUUGCCUAAGCACAACUUCGAGGAGUAGCCGAGCUCUCUCUCAGGGUACACUCUGCUGCACCUCUCCCGACCUCUAAUGUUUUUCUCUUUACUUUUCUUCUGCGUGGAAUCUUGGACUUACGAAAUUUCUUGCUUGAGACUAGUUUAUCUGGUUAAGUGGAAAGUAGAGUACUCCUCAAGUCUUUGUUUGUCCGGUGCAUUAGUUGCAGAGUGUGGCUCAGUGGGAUGGAGUCGAUGGCACGUGAGAUGUCUGUGUUUGCAGUUUGUUUUGAAGAUGGGUUCUGUCACCAGUGAUCCUUGACAAGUUAGAUUUGGAAGGAUCUAAUUUAGAUGAGACGUUAUAGUUUAGUUUAAAGAGCUUGGCCUUUCAGUUCCAAGGUGACUCGAAAACCGUCAUGAAGGUUUUAACCAUGGAAGGGAAAGGAUAUCAGAAGAGUUUGUUUCUUUUCUUCCCUUUGUCAAACUUAGAGAUAAGAAGUCUCUCAUUCCUUUAUGUGACGAAUAAUUACAAAAUCUCAUGUACUUAUAUCUCUGAUGAGAUUGAGAGCAAUGUAGUUCAAAUGGUCAGCUUUUGUUGCAUCUUUCAGUAAAUAAGUAGAACUUACUUUGUUCAGAGUAUAA